UUAAGCGACUAAGCGUACACGGUGGAUGCCCUGGCAGUCAGAGGCGAUGAAGGACGUGCUAAUCUGCGAUAAGCGUCGGUGAGGUGAUAUGAACCGUUAUAACCGGCGAUUUCCGAAUGGGGAAACCCAGUGUGUUUCGACACACUAUCAUUAACUGAAUCCAUAGGUUAAUGAGGCGAACCGGGGGAACUGAAACAUCUAAGUACCCCGAGGAAAAGAAAUCAACCGAGAUUCCCCCAGUAGCGGCGAGCGAACGGGGAGCAGCCCAGAGCCUGAAUCAGUGUGUGUGUUAGUGGAAGCGUCUGGAAAGGCGCGCGAUACAGGGUGACAGCCCCGUACACAAAAAUGCACAUGCUGUGAGCUCGAUGAGUAGGGCGGGACACGUGGUAUCCUGUCUGAAUAUGGGGGGACCAUCCUCCAAGGCUAAAUACUCCUGACUGACCGAUAGUGAACCAGUACCGUGAGGGAAAGGCGAAAAGAACCCCGGCGAGGGGAGUGAAAAAGAACCUGAAACCGUGUACGUACAAGCAGUGGGAGCCUCUUUAUGGGGUGACUGCGUACCUUUUGUAUAAUGGGUCAGCGACUUAUAUUCUGUAGCAAGGUUAACCGAAUAGGGGAGCCGAAGGGAAACCGAGUCUUAACUGGGCGUUAAGUUGCAGGGUAUAGACCCGAAACCCGGUGAUCUAGCCAUGGGCAGGUUGAAGGUUGGGUAACACUAACUGGAGGACCGAACCGACUAAUGUUGAAAAAUUAGCGGAUGACUUGUGGCUGGGGGUGAAAGGCCAAUCAAACCGGGAGAUAGCUGGUUCUCCCCGAAAGCUAUUUAGGUAGCGCCUCGUGAAUUCAUCUCCGGGGGUAGAGCACUGUUUCGGCAAGGGGGUCAUCCCGACUUACCAACCCGAUGCAAACUGCGAAUACCGGAGAAUGUUAUCACGGGAGACACACGGCGGGUGCUAACGUCCGUCGUGAAGAGGGAAACAACCCAGACCGCCAGCUAAGGUCCCAAAGUCAUGGUUAAGUGGGAAACGAUGUGGGAAGGCCCAGACAGCCAGGAUGUUGGCUUAGAAGCAGCCAUCAUUUAAAGAAAGCGUAAUAGCUCACUGGUCGAGUCGGCCUGCGCGGAAGAUGUAACGGGGCUAAACCAUGCACCGAAGCUGCGGCAGCGACGCUUAUGCGUUGUUGGGUAGGGGAGCGUUCUGUAAGCCUGUGAAGGUGUACUGUGAGGUAUGCUGGAGGUAUCAGAAGUGCGAAUGCUGACAUAAGUAACGAUAAAGCGGGUGAAAAGCCCGCUCGCCGGAAGACCAAGGGUUCCUGUCCAACGUUAAUCGGGGCAGGGUGAGUCGACCCCUAAGGCGAGGCCGAAAGGCGUAGUCGAUGGGAAACAGGUUAAUAUUCCUGUACUUGGUGUUACUGCGAAGGGGGGACGGAGAAGGCUAUGUUGGCCGGGCGACGGUUGUCCCGGUUUAAGCGUGUAGGCUGAUUUUCCAGGCAAAUCCGGAAAAUCAAGGCUGAGGCGUGAUGACGAGGCACUACGGUGCUGAAGCAACAAAUGCCCUGCUUCCAGGAAAAGCCUCUAAGCAUCAGGUAACAUCAAAUCGUACCCCAAACCGACACAGGUGGUCAGGUAGAGAAUACCAAGGCGCUUGAGAGAACUCGGGUGAAGGAACUAGGCAAAAUGGUGCCGUAACUUCGGGAGAAGGCACGCUGAUAUGUAGGUGAAGCGACUUGCUCGUGGAGCUGAAAUCAGUCGAAGAUACCAGCUGGCUGCAACUGUUUAUUAAAAACACAGCACUGUGCAAACACGAAAGUGGACGUAUACGGUGUGACGCCUGCCCGGUGCCGGAAGGUUAAUUGAUGGGGUUAGCGGUAACGCGAAGCUCUUGAUCGAAGCCCCGGUAAACGGCGGCCGUAACUAUAACGGUCCUAAGGUAGCGAAAUUCCUUGUCGGGUAAGUUCCGACCUGCACGAAUGGCGUAAUGAUGGCCAGGCUGUCUCCACCCGAGACUCAGUGAAAUUGAACUCGCUGUGAAGAUGCAGUGUACCCGCGGCAAGACGGAAAGACCCCGUGAACCUUUACUAUAGCUUGACACUGAACAUUGAGCCUUGAUGUGUAGGAUAGGUGGGAGGCUUUGAAGUGUGGACGCCAGUCUGCAUGGAGCCGGCCUUGAAAUACCACCCUUUAAUGUUUGAUGUUCUAACGUUGGCCCCUGAUCGGGGUUGCGGACAGUGUCUGGUGGGUAGUUUGACUGGGGCGGUCUCCUCCUAAAGAGUAACGGAGGAGCACGAAGGUUGGCUAAUCCUGGUCGGACAUCAGGAGGUUAGUGCAAUGGCAUAAGCCAGCUUGACUGCGAGCGUGACGGCGCGAGCAGGUGCGAAAGCAGGUCAUAGUGAUCCGGUGGUUCUGAAUGGAAGGGCCAUCGCUCAACGGAUAAAAGGUACUCCGGGGAUAACAGGCUGAUACCGCCCAAGAGUUCAUAUCGACGGCGGUGUUUGGCACCUCGAUGUCGGCUCAUCACAUCCUGGGGCUGAAGUAGGUCCCAAGGGUAUGGCUGUUCGCCAUUUAAAGUGGUACGCGAGCUGGGUUUAGAACGUCGUGAGACAGUUCGGUCCCUAUCUGCCGUGGGCGCUGGAGAACUGAGGGGGGCUGCUCCUAGUACGAGAGGACCGGAGUGGACGCAUCACUGGUGUUCGGGUUGUCAUGCCAAUGGCACUGCCCGGUAGCUAAAUGCGGAAGAGAUAAGUGCUGAAAGCAUCUAAGCACGAAACUUGCCCCGAGAUGAGUUCUCCCUGAGACUUAGAGUCUCCUGAAGGAACGUUGAAGACGACGACGUUGAUAGGCCGGGUGUGUAAGCGCAGCGAUGCGUUGAGCUAACCGGUACUAAUGAACCGUGAGGCUUAACCUU
rnacentral:rRNA from 2 species